rnacentral:lncRNA from 1 species
UUUAUAUUACAUUCUGUUCCGUUAGUAUCUGUGUUUCCUACCUCAUUAUUGUUAAUGGAUACAUCAUUGGGUAUUUAGGCAUUAGCUUAUUUCCAGUGUCCUGCUAUUACAGGCAAGGCUGUAGUAAACAGUAUAUGGCCAGAUUUUUUUUCCCACUCCAUGAUUAUAGCCUUAGUAUAAAUCCUUAGAAGUUGAUUAGCUGGGUCAAUGGGUAGGCAUAAUAUUUUUUUUUAAAGAUUGGCACCUGAGCUAACAUCUGUUGCCAAUCUUCUUUUUUUUCUUCUUUUUCUCAAAGCCCCCCAGUACAUAGUUGUAUAUUCUAGUUGUAGGUCCAUCUGGUUGUGCUAUGUGGGACGUCACCUCAGCAUGGCCUGAUGAGUGGAGUCAUGUCCUUGCCCAGGAUCCAAACCAGCGAAACCCUGGGCCGCCGAAGCAGAGCUUGCGAACUUAACCACUCGGCCACAGGGCCAGCCUUCUGGGUAGGCAUAAUUUUAAGAAUUCAGCUACUUUGUCAACCAGUGUCCCAUCAGGAAAGUAGAAACCAUGCUAAUUGUUUCAAUCAGGGGACUUACUUAAGGAAUGAUUACUAUUGUUGGAAGGGCUGAAGGAGCAAAAAGGAGAAGGUGAGAUAACCCUGGGUUAGUGUCUGCAGGCAGCCUACACCAACUCUAGGAUUGUAGGAGCAAACAGGAGGAGGUGGCGUGCCAGAGCCCUGGUCAUGCUCACUGCUGACAGUGAUAAUGACUACACUUGCUGUUGAAACCGCUGAUGCCGCUCCUAGAGUCACAGCAGGAUGCUGGAACCACAGUCACCCAGCACUGCAGCCCCUGGAACCACCAAAGGAUAUUCCACUGCUGCAGGAGACAUUGCCAGAAGCAGACAGGGAUACAAACGCCUUCUUCCUUCCUACCUUCCACUUGCCCUUCCCUCCCACCAGUGCCUCUCAUUGACUGAACUUAGUCAGAAACGAGAUGGCAAAGAAGUCUGGAAAAGUAGUUUGCAGUGUCCAGCUCCCUCUGAUACAGAACAGCAGGGCCAGCUUCAUGGACAUUCGACCUGUGCAGUCACACAGGACCCCAUCCUUAAAGAAGCCCCAUAUUGUCACUCUCUUGAAAUUCUGAAUACUUGAUUAAAGGGUCUUAUGUUUUUAUUUUGCACGGGCCCUGCAAAUUAUCUAGUUGGUCCUGGAGGGUGGAGCAUGGAAGGGCAAAAAUGGAGCUGAGAACACAGAGGAAAAUGCCAGGGCUGCUGUGUGUUGGCAAAUUGUUCUCCACAAAGUUUACACCAACUUGAUCUAUGUACUUGCAAUGUAUGGAGUGGCCUGGGAAACCACGAAUUAGUUAUGGUGCCAAUAGGAGAGCAUCACCUUGUGGUCAGUGAGUUCAAACUCCCGGGCUCUGCUACCGAUGGAGACAGUCUGUUGUCGACCUUGAGCGACUUUCACAUUCUCUCUGGAUGCCUGUUUCCUUGCUUGUGAAUAAACCAGGAGCAGACCAGAGUGAAAGUGGGAGACCAAUUCAGAGGCAAUUUCAGUGGUCCAGGUGGGAGAGGAUGGAGACCUGGACAAGAUGAUGGCAGAUGGAGAUGGAGAGAAGAGCAAGCAACUGUUCAAGGUACCACUCAGGAAGAUGAGCAAAUCGAGGAAGUCCCUCUGGCCUAAAAAUUCUAUCAACUUGCCCAGGAAAUGAAGGCCUGAGAAUUGCACCAGGUGCUCGCUGGCCUCCUAGAUGCAUCUCAGACUCUGCAUGGGCCAGAAAUGAGUAAUGUAUAACCCCCAAGGGUGACAUAAGAUCUCCCACCCAAUUCUGUUCUUCUGGGUAUUUAGGGAAGAGCAAUAUCCAGGGCAAGGUGAUGGUACUUCGCUCCACGGGACAGAAAUUUAGCAUCAACUGGAGAGUUGAAUCUAGAGGGUGGUCUGGGAGGCUGGGUAGAAUUGGAUUGAUUAUUAGGAGAAAAUUCGAAUAAUAUCAUUUAAGUACACACACAUUCUGAAUUAAAUACACAUUUGUGGAUCCCUGUACUUCUUAAUAAAAGGACACUUAGUUCCAAGUUCUCGUUAAGAAGCUGAUAAGCAUCCAUUUUCUUCUAUUCCGACAAUGAUUAUUCCUCAACUCUAUAAAAUUUACAAACUGCUUCGGAAGCAUUGGUGGAGAAAGGUGCUGUAUGAAUAUAUGAGAUUAUUGAAAUAAAUGCUGAUUUAGAGAUUUCCCAGGUGGAGAGUUAAAAUAUACUGGGGCACAUGCACUCACUCUCACCCCACCCUCAGGGUACUUUCCGCUCUGAUCAGCGGAGAUAAAUUUUCCGACCUGACAGUUGACUGUAAAUCAAGAAGUGUGUUUUAAUAGUCACCACCUUUCUGCUUCUGUGUGCUGCUGUCUGAGGCAAUCCUUCACCUCCCGGGACACAAGACCUGAAGGAUUUUGGCACAUUCUCUCCCCUGCACGUGGAGAGGUGGUGCUUAGCAGCAAGGUAAAUAUUGGCAGGCUUGUAGGCGAGCAGUGAAUAUAAAUAAGUCAGGACAUCCUUAGAAAAGUUCAUCUCUGGAUCCACCGUUCUUUUUGCCAAUAGGUAAGAAAAUAGAAAAUCAUGAGUUUCUCAGGUUUUUGCCAAAUCACAACAAGAUAUUUUUGUAACAAUAUAAAAGCUAGAAAGUAUUUGAGAGUCAGUAAAUGCUGAAUAAAUAAUUCUGAAGGUGAACACAUGCCCUUAUUGCCACAAGCCCUGAUUACUGGGUUGGAUUACUACACUUGCUCCUCCUGACUUUAUCCCUCAUAAUCCUGUCCAUCAACGUUUGCUUGGAGUAACGCAAAUAAACCAGGCUGUUCCAUGCCCCAGUGUCUUUGCACCUGCUGCUGUUUAUGCCCGGACUGGAACCCUUUCCAUUAAUCCACGUGGGCCAGGGACAUUUUCUGAUCUUUCAACACUUGGUACCAGGAUCACCUUUAAUUUGCUUUAUGAAGCUUUUCUUGACAAACUCUCUCACUCCCAGACCUGCCACUUCAUCCUGUACAAAUGUGAUUGCACAUGUCUAUUUAACACAAACAUCACUGGCCUCUCUUGGCAAGUCUCUGCUCAUAUCCUGUACUCCCUCUGAGGCCAUAAUCAACACUUCAUUGCUACCCAGUUGCCCUUUGUGACUUCUCAAGCCUCUUCCCAAAGCAUUUUGAGUAAUGUAGCUUUUACUGAAAUGUUCACAAGGGAGAAAAGUGGAGGGCUUACACUGAACACCAUGUGGCCAAACUUCAUAAAAAUCUCCAUCAUUCCAAAAGCCUGUUCUCCUUUUGCCAGCUGCCUUCUCUCCUCUGUCUCUUCCAUUCUCUGCUCUCCUCUAACCUCCUUUCACCCUUGGAUCCCUCAACACGGCCACAAUCCCAGCUCACAAUCCAGCCCUUUCAGCCCUUUCUCCUUCAUUAACUUGUGUCCUUGAAGUUUUAGGUCCUAUUCAUCAAACAAAGUAUCUCUGUGAGAUCACUCCCCUUUAAAAGGCAAGGGUCACAAAAUCUCCACAUUUCUUCUCCUUCCACUAAAGACUGGAGCAACUUGAGGGUAGGAAUCAAGCCCUAUACACUUUUGCAUCUCUUCUGCAAAAUAUUUAAAAUAUUGUGAAAUGGAAGAAGAAAUAAAUGAAAAAAUAUAGCCACAGGUUAAAAUCCCCAAAGCCCCACUCUAAUCACAGUUUUCUUCUGUUUGAAGAUCUUCCUUACCUCGUGAACUCAUGCUUUGGUCAUCUGCCAUUUCUCCCUGACUCUAGCACUCUGCCCCGCCAUGAUGGGCCCUCUCCACUCCAGCCCACUGGGCGUGUUCUUGCCCUCAGGUGCUCAUUCGGGUUGUCUCUCCAGGCCUAGAAUAAUCUAUGUCAUUCAUGAGGAUGGUUGGCGGUGGUUUACCAUCACCCUAUUGGAGGCCAAGGUAGACGCAACUGUUCUGGUUUCGUAGGUCCGUCCUAACCCUUCCCAGUCUUCAAGGCUCAGUGCGGGUCUUUGCUUCCUCAGCAGACUUCAUGGAGGUCUGCAGUCCAGGCGUAAUGCUCUCUCUCAUGUCCUUAGGACAUAAGCCUUGAACACAUCCACUCUGAUGGCACUUAAUCAUUCAGCCUUAUAUCAUUGUUAAAUUUGGGGUAUGAGGCCUUGAGGUCAUCCUCUUUCCAAAAUGUGGUCAUCAUUAGGUCUGUUCACCAAAAUUUUAGGUGUUUUCCUCAUUUCUAGACUUGUGGUAAGUUUGUACUUGUCUAACCCCUUGAAGCUAUGUGUGGCUGUCUAAUUGACUCUGGCUAAUGACAUGUGAACAGAAUUGACAUAAGCCCCUUUGGGAAAUAAGCUUUCAGAGGAAGAGUGAUGGAUCAUGCUGUCUUUCCCUCUGACAUGGCGACUGGCAGUGUUUGAGGCAUCUGGUGGAUUGUCCAUCAGCCUGGGUCUGUGAAUGAGGACCCAGCGAUUCACAUGGGCAUUUGGUAUGAGCAAGAAGUAAACCUUUGUUAUGUUAUGCCAUUUAGAUUCAGAGAUUAUUUGAACAAUUAAUAACAUAAAUAAAUAAAUGUGUGUUGCUGCAGCACAACCAAUCCUAUCCAGACAGACUCUAAGUUCCCUGAAGGCAGCACUCAGGUAUAACUCACCUUUCUGUCCCCCAGAGAACAUAGCACAAUGCCUCACGGAUGUUCGAGAACUACUGCUGAUUGAUUAGACAUACUGUGAUAAGGUAAAAUAUAUGAGACUAGAGAGUAGUACUUGGUGUCAGGACUUCAACUUGAGACUUAGCCUCUAAAAAACCAAAAUAAAUGUACGUGAUGAUUUCAGUAGUAUUCCAAUAAGAUCGUUGCAUACAGGGAGGCAGAAGAGUGUAAUGCAAGGAACCUGGGCUCUCUAGCUUGAUAGACCUGGUUCAAGUGCAAGCUUUACCAGGUACUUGGCUGCAUGACCUUGGGCUGGUUAUUUAAGGUCUUUGAGGCUGGGAGAACAUCACUACUUACUAGGAAGGAUUAUUGUGGGGAUUAAACAAGAGAAUGUAUGUAAAGCCCUUGGCACAUAAUGAAUGGUCAACAAACGUCAUUCUCUUAGGCUCUCCUCCCACCAACUGCGUGUGGGUUGGUAUGAACUCUUGCUUAAUUCUCUGGGAACUACUUCCCUUCAUUUACACCCUCUGAGACCUUGGUUGCUCGCCUAGUCCCUGGAUUUCUUUAGCUUGGCCUACCUCAGAUCCUUAGGAUUUUGCUUUCCCUACCCCAUGCACACUCUGGCCUUCUGAGAAAUUCCAUAUGCAAAUGGUCACAGUUGACAGGAGCCCUUGGCAAAGGACUGCAAUGGGGGAAAAGGGUUCUUGAGACAGACUGUCUGCUGCCCCAAAUUUAAAAUAGGGCCCUUGGUAAGGUGUGUAUAGUCAGGGAGGUGAUCUCUAUGGGGAAGAAAGAAUUUAAGAUGUCAUGGUGACCAGUUCCAAGGAAGCCCCACCUUGGCCUGUGCCCUGGCUCUAAUGGCGGGGGGUUCUUCUCUUGAAUCCUGGGAUUGUAUCAGUGAUGGUCGCAGAGAGGUCUGUGAGAUUAUCUUCAAUGACUGACUCCUUCCACAGACUGGGUCUUGGUGUGGGGCCCGAGGGCUUAUGUUUUCUUGGACUCCUGGCCCAGUGAACUGUGUGUUUACAGGUUUACAAUUGUCCCUGACUGAGUCCUUGAGGCCACCUCCCCCCUUCCCCUCCCCAUGGAGCGCAACCGUGAUGUGGCAUAUCUAACCACCCCAAGGUGCUUGUGUAACUUGUUUUUCAAAGUCUUGGCAGGAGCUCCGGUCCUGAAGUGAGAAAGGGUGUUUACAUUCUGGAAGAGCAGUGCCGACAAAUGUCUUGCAUCAGGGCUGUUCUCCACCAAUCUCUGCUUCCCAGUUUUCUUCUCUGUGGGAUGGCUUGUGACAGCCACAGAGAUAGUCUGGGACCUGGAAGAAACGAGCCUGAACGUGAAAGCAGGCAUUCAAGGGACAGGGACAACAAAAGCUGUUUCCCUAUAAGGAAAAGAAAAGGUUCCCAGUGCCUGUGACUUCUCUCCCAGUUGUUCAGGCUGUCACAACAUUACAAAUAGUGUUCCCCAAUUUGCCAUAUGGCCUGAGAUUUCAUAAUGAGGGCUUUGGGUCUUUGGCCUUCAUAUACAUCACCAACAUGAGAAGCUGCCAAUGCUUGGUAAAGUGGUUUGAAAUUUAUCUUUGAAAACCAUUGUCUAGUCUUAGGCUCGAGUCUCCAGUUUGGGGAUACACGGAUAAAUGUUUAGGGGGGGCUGCUUAGAGAAUCUGAGGCAAGACCCCUAUUGGAUAGGCAGCAGUUUUCCGACUUCUUGUUAUUUUUAAUAGCAGUGGAUUCCUUUCUUUAUACGAAAACGUACCAAAAACUCGCUAGUGAAGCAGGAAGAGCACAACUUUGUGGGAGCGGAGCUGGGAAUCUGAAGUGUGAGCGCUGGAUUUGAGUCUCCUAAGCAUGGGUAGCUGAUGACCACAGGAAGGAUCCGUGAGAAAGGCCAGAGAGUGGAAACUGAAACUGACUGACAACAGACUGGAAAGAGAGAGUCUGAACAAUGACUCACCUGAAUGCAACCUGUUUGGUGUCUGUCUGAGAAUUCAAGAAAUAGAUAGUUUUCUCCUGCAUGUCCUUUAAGGAGCCGGGAUUAAGGGACUGUGGUUUCUGCAAGUCCGCUGUCCGUCUAGGGGUUGGCAUCUUCCAGGAGAGGCUAGAGCUUGUGAGUCUCAGCUCAGCCUGAGGACCCAUGGAGAAGAACGUAAUUCCAGCUCCAAAGGCCUCUCUUGCACAGAAGAAUUUUUAGCGUUGAGAGGAAGUCUAGGAGGGCAAGAUGGCAGCCGACAACUCCAGACACUUUCUACCCUGCUCAAGACCAAUGGGAAAGAGGGCAGCCUGAGUUGCUGAAUGAACACUGCAGCCUGCAUGGAGGCUGACCAGCCCGUCCCCUCACCCCUGUGACCUCAGGAAGGGAAACUGGCAGAGCUACGCUGAAGGGGAUUAGCCAAGGCCACAGAACCCAAAUCUUCUCCUGAUUGGGCCCCCUGAAUCAGGCCAGGCUGGGAGCAUCCUGUUUCUAGGCACUCUGACUUUUACAAAUCCCUUGCCCCACUAAAAGUGAAGGCAGAGGCUGCAGGCACCAGAUAUUGUCAUGAAAGUCCGUGACCCUCAGGCUGUGGUAGGGCCUGCCACUUGGCUGGCAUUCAGGUAAGGGUGGCCCGCUGUCCUUUUCGCUUCUCUCUGUAUUAUCUCUGCCCUCAUUCCCAUUCAGGAAGACUUCUCUCCGGGGCUACUGAAGCAGCUCUCCAAGAAGCUCCUUGCCUCAAAUGUCCCCUCCAGUGCAUUCUAUGUGUGGCUGCUGGAUCCAUUUUGCUCAAGGCCAUCUCUUAUCUUGUCAUUUCUCCACUCAAAAACCAUCAGUGGCUCCCAUUGCCCAGGGAAUAAAUAGUUAAUUUCUGCAGAGUUUCUGUGCUUACUCCAGGGAGUAGAACCCCAUAAGCUCUGCCACCCUUCCCUGGGGGCAGACCUGAGAGCUGGGGAGAAGAGAG